AGGUAGGCAGGAACCUCCCGUAGCCGAGUGAGGCAGCAUGGCAACCUGCGUGGAGGCUGCAUGCAGUGAUGUGAUGGGAGCUCAAGAAGGAUGGCAGUUGUGAACGGGGAGAUGUAGAGAUCUGGCUGGGAUCUCGGGAUUUGCUUGGGGUGUCGCUGGAGCCAGCUAUGAAGGUGGAGGCAGUAGCCACGCUGGGCAGGAGGAGGACUCCAGGGAUGACAGUGGCCAGUUCAGCAUGGCAAAGCAGGGUGACUGGUAUCUGCAGGGAUGGAAAACCCUGACAGCGAGAUCUGCGGCCAAGCUUGUUGCUCCAAGGUGUGCUGAGGAAGUUGGAAGGAGGCUCAGACUCAAGUGCUGAGGAGGGGAGAGUUGAUACUGCAGCCUGAUCAAGGUGGGAGGCAAAGGAGGUGAGGCCGGACUUCUCCAGCAAAGGAUGGGACGUUUGCGGAAUGUAUAGUGUCUUUGUAAAAUUUCAUCUCAUUCUGGAAAGGCUCAAGAGACGGUCGGCCUGCCAGCCUGCUCCCUCUCCAGCCAGGAUAGCCCUCCUCAACUGCGAAAGCCAAGGCAAGCUGAUCUCUGCCCUCCUGCAAGACGCCUUCUGUGCCUCUUGAAAAUGCUUUUUCAGUUGUCCUUGUAAAAAAAAAAAAAAAAAAAAAAAAAAGCUUUGCAUAAUAAAGUCAAUUCUGAGGGAA